GACAUCAUCUGCAUCUACGACAGU
rnacentral:miRNA from 1 species